AUUGAACGCUGGCGGCAUGCCUUACACAUGCAAGUCGAGCGGCAGCACGGGUGCUUGCCCCUGGUGGCGAGUGGCGAACGGGUGAGUAAUACAUCGGAACAUGUCCUGUAGUGGGGGAUAGCCCGGCGAAAGCCGGAUUAAUACCGCAUACGAUCUACGGAUGAAAGCGGGGGACCUUCGGGCCUCGCGCUAUAGGGUUGGCCGAUGGCUGAUUAGCUAGUUGGUGGGGUAAAGGCCUACCAAGGCGACGAUCAGUAGCUGGUCUGAGAGGACGACCAGCCACACUGGGACUGAGACACGGCCCAGACUCCUACGGGAGGCAGCAGUGGGGAAUUUUGGACAAAGGGCGAAAGCCUGAUCCAGCAAUGCCGCGUGUGUGAAGAAGGCCUUCGGGUUGUAAAGCACUUUUGUCCGGAAAGAAAUCCUUGGCCCUAAUACGGUCGGGGGAUGACGGUACCGGAAGAAUAAGCACCGGCUAACUACGUG
rnacentral:rRNA from 1 species